CAGUCGCCGCGGUAAUACGGAGGGAGCUAGCGUUGUUCGGAAUUACUGGGCGUAAAGCGCGCGUAGGCGGUUACUCAAGUCAGAGGUGAAAGCCCGGGGCUCAACCCCGGAACUGCCUUUGAAACUAGGUGACUAGAAUCUUGGAGAGGUCAGUGGAAUUCCGAGUGUAGAGGUGAAAUUCGUAGAUAUUCGGAAGAACACCAGUGGCGAAGGCGACUGACUGGACAAGUAUUGACGCUGAGGUGCGAAAGCGUGGGGAGCAAACAGGAUUAGAUACCCUGUAGUCCCUGUCUCUUAUACC
rnacentral:rRNA from 1 species